rnacentral:rRNA from 1 species
CCUACGGGGGGCAGCAGUGAGGAAUAUUGGUCAAUGGCCGCAGGCCUGAACCAGCCAAGUCGCGUGAGGGAUGACGGUCCUAUGGAUUGUAAACUUCUUUUGUAAGGGAGAAAAGUGCGGCACGUGUGGCGUUUUGCGAGUACCUGAAGAAAAAGCAUCGGCAAACUCCGUGCAAGCAGCCGCGGUAAUACGGAGGAUCCGAGCGUUAUCCGGAUUUAUGGGGUUUAAAGGGGGCGCAGGUGGAAUGUCAAGUCAGCGGUAAAAUUUCGGGCCUAAACCCCGACGUGCCGUUGAAACUGGCGUUCUUGAGUGCACGAGAGGUAUGCGGAAUGCGUGGUGUAGCGGUGAAAUGCAUAGAUAGCACGAAGAACUCCGAUUGCGAAGGCAGCAUACCGG